UUAGGCCCUUCAAUAGCGGCGAGUGAGCGGCAGAGCUCAGAUUUGAAAUCGUGCUUCUGUUGGCACGAGUUGUAGAUUGCAGGUUGGAGUCUGUGUGGAAGGCGGUGUCCAAGUCCCUUGGAACAGGGCGCCCAGGAGGGUGAGAGCCCCGUGGGAUGCCGGCGGAAGCAGUGAGGCCCUUCUGACGAGUCGAGUUGUUUGGGAAUGCAGCUCCAAGCGGGUGGUAAAUUCCAUCUAAGGCUAAAUACUGGCGAGAGACCGAUAGCGAACAAGUACUGUGAAGGAAAGAUGAAAAGCACUUUGAAAAGAGAGUGAAACAGCACGUGAAAUUGUUGAAAGGGAAGGGUAUUGCGCCCGACAUGGGGAUUGCGCACCGCUGCCUCUCGUGGGCGGCGCUCUGGGCUUUCCCUGGGCCAGCAUCGGUUCUUGCUGCAGGAGAAAGGGGUUUCUGGAAA
rnacentral:rRNA from 1 species